rnacentral:lncRNA from 1 species
GGUAAGGGGAGCUAGCAUGUGAUCGCUGUUCUUACUGAUUUAUAGAAUAGGUUAUGAUUUUGAUAAAUUGAGUGAAUGCAUGUGUACUGUUUAAUUUCUAUUUUGAUGCUAAAGUUGGAAUGUUGGAACGUAAUUGUUGUACUGUUGAUUUUUGUAUGGUGUUUAUGAUUUUGAAGAAUGGGUAUGUGUGAGAUUGGAUGUAUGAAGAGGAACAAUUAUGAAUUACUAUACAAAAGUAGAAGAUGAGAAUUAGGUCCUGUUGUAUAUAUUUUAGGAAUGAUUUAGGAACUAGGAUAGCCAAAUUUUGGGUUUGAGGUUAUAGUUAGGUUUGGUCAGUUUAGGAAGUGGGUAUAAGUCAUAUAUGACUUGUAUGAAGUGUGCAUUUAGUCAAAACUGCAUUCUAAGUGCUAGAACUGAAAUUGGAUCUAUAAGUUGUUGAAACUUGAGAAAUUGAGUCUAAAAUGAUGCAUAAUUAAUAGAUUAAGAGGUUUAUAAGCAAUUAGACACCUUAGACAAGUUUAAAUCAUCAUAUACUUCGAGUUAGAAUCAUU